rnacentral:rRNA from 1 species
GAUGAACGCUGGCGGCGUGCCUAAUACAUGCAAGUCGAGCGAACAGACGAGGAGCUUGCUCCUCUGACGUUAGCGGCGGACGGGUGAGUAACACGUGGAUAACCUACCUAUAAGACUGGGAUAACUUCGGGAAACCGGAGCUAAUACCGGAUAAUAUAUUGAACCGCAUGGUUCAAUAGUGAAAGACGGUUUUGCUGUCACUUAUAGAUGGAUCCGCGCCGCAUUAGCUAGUUGGUAAGGUAACGGCUUACCAAGGCAACGAUGCGUAGCCGUCCUGAGAGGGUGAUCGGCCACACUGGAACUGAGACACGGUCCAGACUCCUACGGGAGGCAGCAGUAGGGAAUCUUCCGCAAUGGGCGAAAGCUUGACGGAGCAACGCCGCGUGAGUGAUGAAGGUCUUCGGAUCGUAAAACUCUGUUAUUAGGGAAGAACAAAUGUGUAAGUAACUAUGCACGUCUUGACGGUACCUAAUCAGAAAGCCACAGCUAACUACGUG